CGCGAAAAGAAAGACUGAAAAUGCCAUCUGACCAGUUGAAGGGAAUCAGGGGAAGCUUUCUAAAGGAAGUGGCAUUUGGUCUAUACGUUGAGGGGCAGGUAAAUAUCUGAGUGGAAUGACUGGAUCAUAUGGUACAGUCAUGUGCCGCAUAAUGACAUUCAGUCAAUGACAGACUGCAUAUAUGAGGUGGUCCUGUAAGGUGAUAAUGGAGCUGAAAAAUUCCUACUACUGAACGACAUCAUAGCCAUUGUAACAUCAUAGCACAACCAAUCACCUUUUCUAUAUUUAGAUAAGGAGUUCAUAUGCUGGAAUGAUAGUGACACAGGAGUUUAACACUCCUACAGUAUCCAGAGCCUGGAUCCCUGAGUCAUCAGAUGGAGAAGAACUACUCAGGAGAGUCAUCCAACCUUCAUAGACAGUGGCAUGAGUGGGAAUUAAACAUUGAUUAUGUUAAGCCAUUGCAGUUUGGGGUUGUUUGUUACAGAAGUGUUCAUUUUCCCUUAUUGACCCA
rnacentral:lncRNA from 10 species